GGAUUAGAUACCCUGGUAGUCCAUGCCGUAAACGGUGGGCGCUAGGUGUGAGUCCCUUCCACGGGGUUCGUGCCGUAGCUAACGCAUUAAGCGCCCCGCCUGGGGAGUACGGCCGCAAGGCUAAAACUCAAAGGAAUUGACGGGGGCCCGCACAAGCGGCGGAGCACGUGGAUUAAUUCGAUGCAACGCGAAGAACCUUACCUGGGCUUGACAUACACCAGACCGGGCCAGAGAUGGUCUUUCCCUUUGUGGUUGGUGUACAGGUGGUGCAUGGUUGUCGUCAGCUCGUGCCG
rnacentral:rRNA from 1 species